UACGUAGGGGGCAAGCGUUGUCCGGAAUCAUUGGGCGUAAAGCGCGUGUAGGCGGCCAGAAAAGUCCGCUGUGAAAACUCGAGGCUCAACUUCGAGCUGUCGGUGGAAACUUUCUGGCUAGAGUCCGGAAGAGGAGAAUGGAAUUCCUGGUGUAGCGGUGAAAUGCGCAGAUAUCAGGAAGAACACCCGUGGCGAAGGCGGGUCUCUGGGCAGUAACUGACGCUGAGGAGCGAAAGCGUGGGGAGCGAACAGG
rnacentral:rRNA from 1 species